rnacentral:rRNA from 1 species
UACGUAGGGUGCGAGCGUUGUCCGGAAUUACUGGGCGUAAAGAGCUCGUAGGUGGUUUGUCGCGUUGUUCGUGAAAACUCACAGCUCAACUGUGGGCGUGCGGGCGAUACGGGCAGACUGGAGUACUGCAGGGGAGACUGGAAUUCCUGGUGUAGCGGUGGAAUGCGCAGAUAUCAGGAGGAACACCGGUGGCGAAGGCGGGUCUCUGGGCAAUAACUGACGCUGAGGCGCGAAAGCGUGGGGAGCAAACAGG